AAAAUAAAAUUGCACUUGCAGAGCUGGCUUUAAUUUCACAGCAUUAGAUACAAGGAAAUCUGUGUUCAAAUCAUGCCAGGUUGCUUAGUUUUCUAAAUCAAAAUUUCAAAAUGCAAUUGAUGCUGUUGCAUGGUAUUCAGGGACUGUGUGCUCUUUACUGGAAUGGGAGAUGUUAUUGUUAUGGUUUUUGAUUGUAGGAUAUUUUAUCCCAAGGCUUUUUUUAUGCUUUAGGCAUUGUUUUAUAUUAAUGAAAGAAUCAUGUUUUCAGCAAGCUUUCUUUAAAUAAUUCUUUUUCUUUUUCUUUACAACAGGGAUGGCAUAUCUGAAUUUGGAAUCACCUUCACCUGAAUAUCCUAGGGCUACAGAAUGGAAACAGUGAUCUUUGGAGUUUACAACUGUUACCUGUGUCAAAGAAACAGAGACUAAAAAUGAGUGUAAGAGCAGAGAAUACCUGCAGCCAUCACAGGGUGCGAGGACAUGAAAAAGACCCAACAGCAGCAAAUAAGAAGAUGUGAGCUAUGCUAUGCUCACAGUGGAAUCAUUAGGAAUUUUACCAUGAGAACAGAACGGAGUUGUUCUUUCAGCAUUUCAGUACCCAUCACCAUAUUAUCUAGGCGCCACCAUAAGAUUAAGAAGCUCUGUAGUGACAUUCUCAACAUGAUCUGCUCAGAGGUCAUUAGCAGCGCCUUUCAUACUGGCAAGGAUCGGAGGAGAGCAAGGAAGUGCGCAGCAGCAGGAGAGAAAAAGGAAAAGAGGCGGUAA
rnacentral:lncRNA from 1 species